GCUCCUACCGAUUGAAUGGUUUAGUGAGGACUCCUGAUUGGCGCCGCCGCCCCGGCAACGGAGCAGCGGACUGCCGAAAAGUUGUUCAAACUUGAUCAUUUAGAGGAAGUAAAAGUCGUAACAGGGUUUCCGUAGGUGAACCUGCAGAAGGAUCAGAAUCGGAAAAGCGCGGGGAAGGGAAGGGGGGUAAAUCUCGGUGGUCCCCGAACCAUUAAAAAAAAAAAGAAAGCGUAUAGUGAGACGCAAGAGACACAAUAGCAUAAAUGACAACAAC
rnacentral:misc_RNA from 1 species